GAUUCUAUGAUGAUUUAUUAAAUUCUUUUCUGACAUCUCUAAUGAACCGUUGUGAUUCAAAUCAGUUUAAUAAAUUUCUGAAGUU
rnacentral:snoRNA from 12 species